GGGACACCACAUGCCACCCCGGCACCCCGAGAAGAGCCGGGCACCUCGGGGUGUCCCCGAUGUCACAGGGGCAGGAUGGUAUCAGCUGCAUCUGGGGGAGGUGACACCCCCCGGCAGCCCCAGCACAGCACCCCCAGGAGAACGUCCUGCCCCACCUGCCGGGCACCCACAGGCACCAGGGACACAGCCACACACGAGCGUGGCCCUGGUGGCUCCUGUCCUCCAGGACCGCACGCUGGAGCCCAGAAGCCGGAGCAACCUGGAAUUUGGUACUUGGCAGCCCCCCCUGCUGCCACCGUCUGCCUGGCACCCGUCCCCCUCGUGCCUUACGUGCCCUCCAUGCUCUACUGCUCCCCAGCAGUUCCUACCUCAGCCCCAGGCCUGGCCGGGGUCCCCCUCGCUGUCCCCGCGGG
rnacentral:lncRNA from 1 species